UACGAGGGGGGCGAGCGUUGUUCGGAAUUAUUGGGCGUAAAGGGUGCGUAGGCGGUUCCGCAAGUCCUGUGUGAAAUCUUCGGGCUCAACUCGAAGUCUGCAUGAGAAACUGCCGGGCUUGAGUAUGGGAGAGGUGAGUGGAAUUCCUGGUGUAGCGGUGAAAUGCGUAGAUAUCAGGAGGAACACCUGUGGCGAAAGCGGCUCACUGGACCAUAACUGACGCUGAUGCACGAAAGCUAGGGGAGCAAACAGG
rnacentral:rRNA from 1 species